ACCUAUACUCUAGAAAUCCGCGUAUAGACGAUCCGUAGAUACGUGAAUGCCAGUACUUCUAUAGACGAUCUAUCAUUUCUGCGACCAGUCCGUGAUACGUGAAUGCCCGCAGCACGGUGGGAAAAACCGUAGAAAUCCGCGGCACACGAGAGGAAAUUUGAUCCGCUUUCCUACGUUGGUGGGGCGAAAAUUCAGAGGAUUUUUCAACGAGGAACACGAGUCCACAAGUCACGCCUAUACGGAACUGCUGCCCUGCCGGGAAUUAAUGCGGCCGCCCCCGCCACAACCGCCGCAAUCCAUCCCCCCGUGCUGCCGUAUUCGUAGAUCCGUGAGGAAAAAGCGUCCGCGCUCUGAGCUCCGUCGCCGCUCGCCACGCCGCCGGUAAGUUGUUUGAAUGCAUCGAGGGAGCGCGCGGUGGAUGGAGACGGUGGAGGAGGACGUGGAGGAGUACAGCUGGCGGGAGGUGGUGCUGCCGCACCUCGUCCCCGUGGUCUCCGACGGCGCGCCGCCGGAGCUCGAGCGGGAGACCGGGGAGCGCCGCCGCGGCAGGGACCUCCUCGUCGCCGUCGACUUCGGCCCAAACUCCAAGCACGCCUUCGACUGGGCGCUCGCGCACAUCGCCCGCAUGGCCGACACGGUCCACCUCGUCCACGCCGUGUCCAGUGUGCAUAAUGAGAUUGUGUAUGAUAAAAGUCGGGAGCUGAUGGAGGAUUUAGCCGUUGAGGCAUUCAAGACGUUACUGGUCCGAACCAAGGCCAGACUUGUUGAAGGAGAUGCUGGAAAAGUUAUUUGCCGAGAAGCAGAUCGACUGAAGCCCGCUGCUGUCAUUCUUGGUACACGUGGUAGAGGCCUUAUUCAAAGUUCUGAUAUGAUGUCAACGGUGAAGAGAUGUCUUGAUGCUAAGUGUGUUGCAGGGAAGUGUCAGUGAGUAUUGCUUCCGCAACUGUAAAGCAGCACCAAUUAUCAUUGUGCCUGGCAAAGAAGCUGGUGAACAGUCUGUGCUUUGAAGGAAGAUGAGUAGGAGAGUUGUUCCUGUUUCUUGUACUAUCAGUUUAGGUGAUAAAGUGUUGUAUAUUGGUGUUGGUUAGUUGUGGCCUGUGGGAACAUGUUUUUAAGUGCUUUGCUUGUAAUCUGAAGUUCUGAACCCUCUGUGUAGCUUGACUCUCAAGGAAUGUUUAGAAAUUGGGAGAGUAGCAGACAAACAUAUAACACAAGAAAUGUACUUGUAUUGCCAUUGCUGACAGAAUUACUUCAUUAGUACAGUUGCUAUGAAUAAA